rnacentral:tmRNA from 1 species
GGGGGCGACCUGGUUUCGACGUGGGUCGCGAAACCUGCAGGUGCAUGCCGAGGUGCAGUACCUCGUAAAACCACUGCAAGCGAAAUAGUUGCCAACGACGACAACUACGCUCUGGCUGCCUGAUCCAGCCAGCCUCUGACUGACUCCGUGCCUGUGCGGGUCAGGUUCCAGAGGUCAUCCAUCACAGGCUCGCACCGAGGCACGUCCGGGGCCGAGGUGUCAGAUCCCGGAUCCGGACUGGCUGUCCGACUUCCCCGUCUGCCGGGCAGCGGGCAGCGAGACCAAUAGGCAGACUAAGCAUGUAGAUCCUCAGGCGGAGGAUCCACGGACGCGGGUUCGAUUCCCGCCGCCUCCACCA